AUGACCACUUAUAGAUGACAUAAGCAAAAAUCUAUACCCUUUAAAAUUGAAUUAAACCAUUGCUUAUGUGACUAAAUCCUGCAUGUUGUGCCUGUAGGGAGCAUCAUUUCAUGAGUCUUACUCACUCAUUCACGACUUCAGGACAGAGAUGACGAAGCUAAUGUAAUGCCAGGAAACAAGAGGUACCCUGCUGCAUGUGGCUAAAGAGGCAUGACCCAACAGUUAUAAAACACGCUUUCAGUUACUGGUCAAAAACAAUAUCCCAGAACAGCAGGGUGAAAACAAAGUGGGGAAACUUUCAAAAACACUCCUCACAGUGUGGGGGCUUUGUCUUUGAAAACGCACCGCAGGACACUCUCAUUAGAGAAUGUCGUUUCAUUAAGAUCAUCCCACACUACUGAGCCCGCUGCAUCACAAUGACACAGGAGUGUCCCUCUCGACAAGGAAAUCUCCUCUUAGCAACAACUCGCUGGGGGAGGGGAAGGCAGAAAAAGGGGCUAGUGCGGGGGCAAACAAAAGAGAACCCGAUUACUGCUGGUCACGGCUCAUCCGCAAGCCACCACAGGGAAAUCCAUCACCUUUAGAUCAAACGGGAACUUGUGCACACGGUAGAACCCACCGAAAGCAAUACCCACCCUCCUAACCACUCUCAUCACUCUCUCUUUUUUUCUUUCUUUUUUUUAGCUUGUCACUGCUAUCUCCCCUCCUGUUUUCUGACUCACGUCAACGGCAGCAUGCAAGUUUUAGACCCGGACUGUGAAAUCCAACACAGGCGCGAAUGCUCUGUGGUCCAGAUGACCUCAAGGCUCUAACCCUCCAGAUGACACUUUGUCCAGAUGUGUUGGUGAGACUUCACAUGGGUGGACAUCAAGGAACACAUUCCUGCUUGUUUUCCAACAGACCCUGCUCUGGAAUGUUCCAAGUGGAUGGACACCUGAUACAGGUUGAAACCCAGUUGUGACCUGAAACAGAAACAGAUGUGUUGGGGGGUUUAAAUCGGGCGAAGAACCGCCAAACUCUGCUACCGCAAGGUGAAACAGUGGACGACAGCUUCAUGUUAUGGAAUGAUUGAGCACAACGACAAGACGCGAGGCAGUUGUACUGCAUCAGCAAGGUCUGUGCAGACAAAGAUUUCAACAAAGACACUCUAGAUGUUGAAGUUUCUGAAGGAGCACAAAGAAACUGGCAAAGUUGAGGAUUUAAGGCAACCAAUGAAAUAGUGCAGAAGUUGAAAGAUUAACUUAUUAUCCUUCAAAUUCAAAUGAUGGUCAGCAGUGGCAAAAAUCAGUGGGACCCGUCUACUGUCUGGAGAAGUAUGUCCAGAAGAGUCUUCAUGGAGAAGGUGGAGCCAAAAAGCCAAACUUGUGACAUGGAAACAUGAAAAUAUAAAAACCUGGGUCAGAAA